GGGUUAGGAAAGCAGGAGAAGUUGUGGGGUGGUUGUGGCAGGAGAAAGAAGCCCCCAGGCCAGUGCAAGCAGGCCCCCCUGGGCUUGCACAUCAUCUGCCCUCCCUGCAGGUUCCUGUCCUGGAGAGCAGGCCCUGAGGUGUCCCUGAGAAGAAGUGGAAGGCAGAGGUGGUGCUGAGGCAGGAGAGCCCCGUGCUGGGGAAGAGGCUGAGCUGGGAGUGCCCAGCAGCGAGAAGGUGCUGUGUCCAUGCCCUGUGUGCCAGGAUUUGUCCUUCCCAAAGCUUGGGCGGAUGGAGGAGGAGGCUGCAAAGAAGAGGAAAAAGCCGCGGGCCCCC